rnacentral:rRNA from 1 species
CCAGUGGCGAAAGCGGCCUCCUGGCCCAUUUCUGACGCUCAGACACGAAAGCUAAGGUAGCAAACGGGAUUAGAGACCCCGGUAGUCUUAGCUGUAAACGAUGUGAACUUAGUGUCGGUGGGGUUAAAUCCAUCGGUACUGAAGCUAACGCGAUAAGUUCACCGCCUGAGGACUACGGCCGCAAGGUUAAAACUCAAAGGAAUUGACGGGGCCCCGCACAAGCAGCGGAGCGUGUGGUUUAAUUCGAUGUUACACGAAGAACCUUACCAGGGUUUGACAUGCAAGUGGUAGGAAGCCGAAAGGUGACCGACCCUUCGGGGAGCUUGCACAGGUGCUGCAUGGCUGUCGUCAGCUCGUGUCGUGAGAUGUUCGGUUAAGUCCGCUAACGAGCGCAACCCUCACUGUGUGUUAUAUGUGUCACACGGGACUGCCGGUCUUAAGCCGGAGGAAGAUGGGGAUGACGUCAAGUCAGCAUGGCCUUUAUGUCCUGGGCUACACACACGCUACAAUGGCCAACACAAUAGGUUGCUAAGCCGCGAGGUGGCGCCAAUCCAGUAAAGUUGGUCUCAGUUCAGAUUGUAGGCUGCAACCGUCCUGCAUGAAGAUGGAGUUGCUAGUAACCGCAGGUCAGCUAUACGUGCGGU